UGGUGGAGUGAUUUGUCUGGUUAAUUCCGUUAACGAACGAGACCUCAGCUUGCUUUAUAGUGGGACAAAUGAUUUUUCAUUUGUGUUUAUCACUUCAAAGAGGGACAUUUCGGUUUUACCGGAAGGAAGUUUGAGGCAAUAACA
rnacentral:rRNA from 1 species